rnacentral:tRNA from 1 species
GUCCCCGUAGCUCAACGGAUAGAGUGCUGGCCUCCGGAGCCAUAGAUGCUGGUUCGAUUCCAGCCGGGGACG